CUGGGAGGGACUGGGAGCGCGGGGCAAGGGUGAAGGUUGGACUGGGAGCACUGGGAAUGGGGCCAUGGCUGGAGCGUAGCCCCUCCCCCACCGGACACAGGACCCACCCUCGGACACGCUGAGCCAGAGCCGGAAGGGAGCGAUGAUUGGCUGCCAGGCGAGAGGCGCGCUGUGAUUGGCCGGUUCCUGGAGAGGGUCGCGUCAUCGGUG